UUGAAAGUAGAUCAGUCACAUUCAUACAGAAUUGCAGCUGAGUCUAGUCUAAAUAAGCCCUGCUUUGGAUUAGCUCUGGUGCCUCUGGUGACUCAAAACUUUCCACAGAAAAUGUAGCUGAGAAUAUAGAGAAAGUGAAUGGGCCACCUUAUUUAUUCUCAGAUAAUAUAAGACCAAAGAUAAUGAAAAUGGAAGGCAAUGCACUUAAACAUGGUAGAAGGAAGUAUUUUAAAGCAACACAUAACCUGAGGAAAUACAAAGAAUCAUUGAGACAGUUUGGUUAAAAUAUAAAAUAAUUUGUUUAUAUGAUUAAAGAGAAUCUAUGGUACUACUUUGGGUACGGUGUGAAAAUUAAGUGAACAGUCAUGUUUCAGGGCUUAAGCCAAUUAUUAAGACCACAAUCUGACAAAUCACUAAAGCACGUAAGAACAUGCCUGGUUUCAUUUAAGGUAAUGGAGCUAUUCAUGCUUGAAGCUUGUAUGCACGUAAGUGCUUUGCUGGCUCAGGAGCUAAUAGUUCAAUGGUAGAAAGAUAACACAACUGUGGGCAGCUUCUUUCAAAGAUGUCUAUUAUGUCUUUCUCAUACUUUCCCCUGAAAGAAAUAGCGUAAGUUACUGUCAAAGGCAGGAUCUUACAGUACAUGGACCACUGGUCUGAUGCAGUACAUAGUGCAUAUGUGUGGGCUCCCCCCCGUAACUAGUAAUUUUGGAAAGCUCAUUUCAUUUUUCUUUCUUCUGCCAUGCACAGAGGAAAAAAGAAUUAGGAACACCAUCUUCUACCUGAAUCUGUCUGAUCUCUCCAAAAGUAGAAGACAUGUAUCCAUUAGGAAAUUAGUGGCACAAUGAAGAGACAUCAUGAAUCUUGGAUCGAAGUGGUUGGUGACCUCCUCCAACACUUGUUAAAGUCAAUAGUGGGAUUUCAAUUGGUGCUUGGUGUCCUCUGUUUUCUGAUGUGCGCUUGUAAUUCUGUCAAGAGAUAUGAUGGUACUGAGUGUAAAUACAUAGAAUGAGACUUCAUAUUCAUUUUGAAGAGAACAAAUGAGGAAUGAAGCUCUCUAGUUGAGA
rnacentral:lncRNA from 1 species